rnacentral:lncRNA from 1 species
GUGGUGAGGAAGGCCACGCUUUUUAAGGAAAACAAGAGGUAUAAGCAGUUGUCACUGGAGAUGGGCAAGUGCCAGCUGCAUGAAAGUGCCCCUUUCAUGCAUGAAGGUGGACACCCUCCCACUCAGAGCAGCAGCUCAUACCUGCACAGCCAACAGGCCCCAGUUUCCCUAGAGCUUGCUUUCUCUCUUGUUCAGAUGUAAGCCUGUUUCAGAGAUGAGAAAAUAGAGAACCUUAAAGGAUUCCAGAUAAGGGGAUUUUGCCAAGGCGAGGUUCCCUCCUCUGCCUCUCCUGUCUGCAGUUUGUGCACACAUUUGAGUACCUAGACAUUUGAAGAUACCUCUUCAGACAGGAGCCUGGGGUUGUGAGACACAGGGACUCAGUGCUGGAGAGAUGGCUCAGAGGUUAAGAGCACUUGUUGCUCUUGCCAAGACCUGGGUUCCAUUCACAGUACCUAUGCAGUGGUUCAGCGCCAUCUGUAACUCCACUUCCAGGGGAUCCAAGGUGCUCUUGGAGCUGUGAGCACCAGGCAUGCAAGACACACAAAAUAUAAUAAUUAAAUCUUUAAAGAAUUAAAGGGGAGGGGAGGGAGAGGGAACUGGGAUUGACAUGUAAAACCAUCUUGUUUCCAAUUUAAAUUUAAAAAAUGGAGAAAAAAAAGAAAGGGUGGGGAGGUACUCGGCUCUACAGUAGGAUGAAGUCAGCGCUGGACUGGUAUUCAUGAAGCAUGCCCUCCUGGCUCAGUGGCCUCUGCCUGCCUCAUCCCGCAUCCGAACUUAUCUUUGUGAUGUGUUUGCUUCUCCAGAUGGGAGCUUGCCUGAUCGUCUCCUCAUCGGCCUGGACUCCAGAGCCAACCCAGCUGAGUGUGUGCAGAGAGUCCCAGGUGAGGGGCACCGCUCAGGACUCAGCAGAGACCACCCCGGAGAAGCUGAUGCUGGUGGAGACAGACCUGUCCUACUGAGCCAGGCCUCUGCAAAGCCUGCUCAGGCCUUGUGCAAAGUAGAU